rnacentral:rRNA from 1 species
CAGUAGCCGCGGGAAUACGUAGGUGGCAAGCGUUGUCCGGAAUUAUUGGGCGUAAAGCGCGCGCAGGUGGUUCCUUAAGUCUGAUGUGAAAGCCCACGGCUCAACCGUGGAGGGUCAUUGGAAACUGGGGGACUUGAGUGCAGAAGAGGAAAGUGGAAUUCCAAGUGUAGCGGUGAAAUGCGUAGAUAUUUGGAGGAACACCAGUGGCGAAGGCGACUUUCUGGUCUGUAACUGACACUGAGGCGCGAAAGCGUGGGGAGCAAACAGGAUUAGAUACCCGUGUAGUCCCUGUCUAUUAUAC